GUCAGACACACCUUCUCUUGCACUGUCACACUCACCCCCCAACCCUGUCACACUCAUCCUCUAUCAGUUUUCCCACUCACCCCCUUCACCCUGCCACACUCACCCUACAACAUAAACCCUUACAAUCCUGUCCUCAAACCAUGCCACACUCACCCCAAACCGUGUCACACACACAGGUAGACAAUAUACACUCAGAAAUACUCACACCGGCACUUAUGUAUACAUGAAUGCAAGGCUACGUAACCAUACCCCGCAGUCGUGUGUAAACAAUUAGCAUAAUUGCUAAUUCAAUUUGUUUAUUGUAAAUUAAUAUAGUUAGCAAAUUUUGCCAUGACUACAGUCAGACACUGCAAGCCUCUGAACAAUGAAUACAGAGACAAGCUCUCUGUAUCCAGUGCUGCAAGCUUGUACUUCAAUACAACUACAGCACCUUAUACACACAAUGUAAACCCCCCCUUUUUUUUUCUUUUUUUUUUACUUUCGGUGUUAGUGGGUUCCUCAUGUUUGAGUUUUGCCUAAGGCCUCACAAAGUCUAGAGCCACCAAUGUGUUUCUGGUCCUUAGAGGUGGCCGGG